GCUUGGGCUGUGCUCAGGCUUGGAGAGGAUGCUCCAGUUGGGGGACCUGGCUCCUGGCACUUAUGCUGCUGUCCCUUCUUCCUUGUCUGGGAGCAGCUGUUGCCUGGACUUCCUCCUUUUGUCUUAGACUCCCAUUGAGUUCAAGUGCAUAUAGUCCAACCAGAGCUAAAAUUGGGUGGGGGAUUAAAAGCUAUUAGUAUGAUUUUUGAAGAGAAUGCAUGUUCUUAAACCCAUUUUCCUUAGUACUUCUGUCUCCACUUUCUCUCUGCUUGUCCUCAUGGAUGAUGCUGAGCCCAGGGUGACAAGGAAGCCCAGCAGCGUGAGGUCAUCCUGUCUUCUAGAGCACCUGGACCUCCUGUGCUUCCCCAGGCACUCCCAGGACCUAAAGUUGGAAUUCCAUGUACCUGUGAUAAGUGGGUGCCCUUGACCUUGGGUUUCAAGCUGUAGGGGAAUGAGUGCCCCAUAAAGGCUGUGAAUGGGACUUCGCUUCCAGGCUGGAGAAACGAGGGUUGCAGAAAAGGUGAUCUGGGGAUUCCGGGACAAAUGUAAGAAAAGCUCACAUUUUGCUGAUGCCUCAGCCCUGAGGCAGUGAGCAAGGCAAAGCCUCCACCUGGGUACCAGGAAUACAUAUCCCAAGAAAGGAAAGAGUGGAAGGUACAUGAAUUAGGCCUUGCGGGAAGCACCGGGUGUUUGGUGUGGUUCGUCUAUUGCAUCAGACUCGAGACACUCGCGUGCUGGGGGCACUGCCUGGAGCUUCUGGAGGCUGCGGGAAUUCUGGAGGAGAGCUGAAGGAGCGGCUCUGGGGACCUGGAAGGAAGAAAACUUAAGAGCCCAUUACUCUCAACCCGGUCAUUUUACAGUUGAGGAACCAGAUGGGAAAUUGCUUGUUCAAGGCCACACCGAGAACACCUCCUUGGAGCAGGCGUCAGGGCCACCCCGGGGACCGACGUGGAUCCUUCCUCUGGCCCAGGCUUCCCACCAGCUCAGGCG